CGCUGGCGGCGUGCCUAACACAUGCAAGUCGAACGCGAAAGUGGAGCAAUCCAUGAGUAGAGUGGCAAACGGGUGAGUAACACGUGGGUGACCUGCCUUCGAGUGGGGGAUAACGUCCCAAAGGGACGCUAAUACCGCAUAAUAUGCUGCUUUUAAGAGAGAGACAUCAAAGCCGGGGACCGUAAGGCCUGGCGCUUGAANAGGGGCCCGCGCCUGAUUAGCUAGUUGGUGGGGUAAUGGCUCACCAAGGCAACGAUCAGUAUCCGGCCUGAGAGGGCGGACGGACACACUGGGACUGAGACACGGCCCAGACUCCUACGGGAGGCAGCAGUGGGGAAUUGUUCGCAAUGGGCGCAAGCCUGACGACGCAACGCCGCGUGGAGGAUGAAGAUCUUCGGGUCGUAAACUCCUUUCGAUCGAGACGAAUGGCCCUUGGGAUAAUACCCUGAGGGAGUGACGGUACCGAGAGAAGAAGCCCCGGCUAACUCCGUG
rnacentral:rRNA from 1 species